rnacentral:lncRNA from 10 species
CAAUUAUUGAACUGGCCCAAAAUUAGUAAUUAUUGAAUCCGGGUGAUAGGUAUUACAGGAAUUUAUCAUUCUACUCUCUACUUUUUUAUACAUUUGAAAUUUUCCAUACGAUUCUUUAAAAAUAAGUUCUUAUAAAUUUGUAUUCAUACACACACACAAAUAGUAAAUAAAAGCACAUAGUAAAGAAAAGCUCAGGAAGAAAAUGAUGAGGGACUAUCCCACAAAGAGGACCAACAGGACUGCCAGGAUCUAAGAGGUUCAAUAUCUGAAUGAUAGGAAUUCAAAAAGUGAAAAUAGAGAAUAAGAAAAAAAUAAGAUAAUCAAGAAAAAAGUCAAGAAAUGUUCCCCAAAUUGAAGUACACAAGUUUUCAGAUUGAAGGAGCCCACCAAGCACCCAGUAGAAUGAAUGAAAAUUGACCUACACCCAAGGCAAAUCAUGAAAUUUCAGGAUACUGGGAGAAAAAAGAUUAUACAAGCCUCCAAAGUCAGGGGAAACAAGUUAGUUACAAAAACAUCAGUCACUACCAGAAGAGUUUUCAACUUCUUAAUAGCAUCAAUGAACCAAAAGAUGAUGAGGUAAUACCUUCAGGUUUUUAAGGGAAAAUUAUUUCCAAUCCAGAAUCUAUACUCAGGCAAUCCAAUAUAAAGAUAGAAGACAUAUUUCAGACAUGAAAAGUCACAACAAUUUACCUUCCAGGUACCCUUUCUCAGAAAAGCUAUCAGAGGCAGAAUUUCACCAAAAUGAGAAAGAAUAUAAGGACAUAGACAUGGGAUUAAGGAAACAGGAGAUCCAGCUCAAGAGGAGCAAAGGGUAUUCUUAGCAAUAGUGGAGGAACAUCCAAGAUUUGUGCAUCAGGACAGUAAGCAACCAGUUCAGACUAAAGCCAGAAAGCGCUGGAAGAGCUUUCUCUGAGAUGGAACUGAAAGCACACUGAUGUGUUUGAACUGAGUAAGAAAAGAAAUAGACAGUUGGAAAAGAGUUGAGAAAUGGAGUACUGACGAGUGUAUUUUAAUUAAGAAUGUUUUAAAAAUAAACCUAACUAUUAAUCCCAGGGAAAACCAAAAGCUGAGGAUGAAAAAUUAUUGUAUUAUGGAUAAGCCAUGUCUCAAAAAUGUAAAUAAUAACUAUUCAUCUAACAUUUGUUAUAACUACAGUGUACGGAGAAGACAGGGUAUGGAGUAGUAUAUACCAAUAAAUGUGGGACGUUAGAGAAAACAAAAAGUAGGGGAAAGAGUGUAACUUUGAUCUUCCUCCUACUCCUUCCAAGAGUAGGAGGUUAGUGGCUGAUACCUAACCCUGAAAAAAAAAAAUCACAUUACAAGCAUUUAGGUCAGAGAUCUGUUAGAGAUGGAGAUUAGCCGGGCAUGGUGGCUCAUGCCUGUAAUCCCAG